UGGCCACAUCAGGGGCAGGAGAGGAGGGGACUUUGAAGGAUAUGGACAGAAGCCUCAAAAUACCUUUUAUGCCUUUCAUGGCCCAUGAUGCAAACUUGUCACGAUGUUGUCAACUAAUACAAGCCCUGGGUCGGAAAGCCUGUUUAAUAAAUCGCCAGGGCCAGAGGUGUAAUGCAGAGGGAUAAACAAGUUUGUUAAGUGGAUGACCCUUGUGAGUCUUUUUUCAGGUUCUGCUCAGAUGACACCUGCUCCACAAAGUUCCUUGGACCCUCCCUCACCCGCAAAUGCCCUCAUGUGGCGUUCCUCCUGCACUUCCUUCAGCUGUUCUCAUUUUCUAUAUGUUACAACUAUUUAGAAAGGUCUCGGCUUCCUCACUGGGCCUAGAUCCUUGAGGGCAGAGUUUUACUUGUCUAUGCCGGCCUGUCAGUGUGGUGCUCAUGGUGGGUUCUUAGUAUCUGAAAAAGGGAAAGGAGGAGGAAGCUGGAACCCUAACUGGGGAAAGGAUCAAAUAACUAAAAAUUCAGCUUCUUCUGGCCUGCAAAGUGUCAGGGAUCUAUAACUGUGAGUGCUCUGAGAUUAGGCCACAGACUUUUGCUGUCUCAACAUUUUCUCCUCUUGGGACAUUUCCUUUGAGUUGAUGUUCUGCCAGUUUCUACAUUCAGGCUCAGCCUAUGGUGCCAACCUGUCAGUGUGGUGCCAGCGAGGUGCUCUCAGAGGGAGCAAGGCAAGAAGAGGUGACGAGAGCCCCAGACACAGUCUCACACUGAGGCAUGGGCAGCAGUAAAUGAGGAGAGGCUGGGUGAGGACCAGAGGACCAGGAGUCCAGGCCAGGAUGCGACACAGAAAAGGCAAGGGUUAGAUGGGCAAGGUGUGACAUCAGAGCCCGGCAAGAGGUCUCUGGCUGGGCUUUAGGGUCGCUACAUUUGGCAAAUACAAAUAAAGAAUGCCCUCACCUCACACCCUUUAGGAUGGCUAUUUGGGAAAACGAAAACAUCAGAUAGACGCGUUGGUGAGGACGUGGAGAAAUGGAAUCCUCGUGCACGGCUGGUGGGAGUGUAAAAUGUGCAGCCAGCCUGGAAAACAGUCUGGCAGUUCCUCGAAAAAUAAAACAGAGAAUGGCUGUAUGAUUCAGCAUCCCACUGCUGAGAAUAGACCCACAAGAACCGAAAGCAGAGCCUCAAAGAGACCUUUGCACACCCGUGUUCACAGCAGCGUUCCUCACAGCAGCUACAGCGUGGAAGCAACCCAGAGUCCAUCAACGAAUGAAUGGAUAAGCAAAACGUGGCUCGAUGGAACAGUCUUCAGUCUUACAGAGGAAAAAAAUUCUGACACAUCCUACAACAUAUGAAUGAACCUUGAGGAUAUUACACUAAGUGAAAUAAGCCAGUCACAAAAGGGCAAAUACUGUGUAAUUCCACUUAUCUGCAGUGUUUAGAGGAGUCAAAAUCACAGAUACACAAAGUAGCAUGGUGGUUGCCGGGGACUGGGGAGUUGGGGGAAUGUAGAGUUAUUGUUUAGUAGACAUAAGGUUUCAAUUUUACAAGAUAAAAGAGCUCGAGAGGCCGGGCAUGGUGGCUUGCGCCUGUAUUCCCAGCCUUUGGGAGGCCGAGGCGAGAGGAUCACUUGAGUCACGGAGCAGGAGACCAGCCUGGGCAACACAGCAAGACCCCAUCUCUACUAAACAAAUAAGCAAACAAACAAAGUUCUGGAGAUGGAUGGUGCUGAUGGUUGCACACAUCAUGAAUGUAUUUAGUACCACUAACUGUACACUUGAAAUUGGUUAAGAUGGUAAACAUUUUACAUUAUGUGUACAGUACCACAGUUUGAAAAUUGGGAAAAAAUGCAGUGCCCACAGUGAAAUUUGAAUUUUAAACACGAAUAAUUCUUUAGUAUCAUUAUAUUUCAUGCAACAUUGGGUAUGUAUGUAUACUAAAAAACUAUUCAUUGAUCUGAAAUUUCAUCAGGCAUCCUGUAUUAUGUCUGGCAACCCGGACACAGGUCAGGGUUCUAUAGUGAAUGGUGAUCAUGAUUCAUACACAGGCUGAGGGAAUUGUUCACAGAAGCGAGGAGAGGAGCAGAGAGGAGCUGGCUGUGAAGAGAGAGAAUAUAUGUUCUUCCCAUUUUCCUCUCCAGUCCUGGUAAAUAAAACAACAGUCAAAAUGUAUCUACUGACUCUCCAGGCAAGUCAGCCACCCCAGCACUACUCAUGUUUAUCUCUUCAAGAGCACUUACUUGUUAUUGGAUGUUUAUCUGCGACACGUCUGCCUCCCCCUUGAGGAGAAAGUAACCAAAGUUUUGAGUCAGAGAUCUAGGCUGAAACAAGACUCUGAAACUUAAGGUGUGUGACUUUAGCAAGUUAUUUAUCGUCUGUGAGCCUCAGUGUUCCACGAAUGUGAAUACCAUCAAGAUAUUCUAAUAAAUAAAUCAAGUAAUGUAGAUAAAACACAUAGCAGGUGCCCAGAAAUAUUAAGCACAACAUCUCUGAAGACCUGGAGUGCAGGGACCCAGUCCUAACAGUACCCGCGCUGCAGAGUCCUAACAGUACCCGCGCUGCAGAGUCCUAAUGAGAGGUGACAGCGUGCUGGCAGUCCUCAGAGCCCUCGCUUGCUCUCGGCCCGCCUCUGCCUGGGCUUCCACUUUGGCGGCACUUGAGGAGCCCUUCAGCCCCCCACUGCACUGUGGGAGCCCCUUUCUGGGCUGGCCAAGACCGGAGCCCGCUCCCUCAGCUUGCAGGGAGGUGUGGAGGGAGAGGCGCGAGCGGGAACCGGGGCUGCGUGCGGCGCUUGCGGGCCAGCUGGAAUUCCGGGUAGGCGUGGGCUUGGCGGGCCCCGCACUCGGAGCAGCUGGCGGGCCCUGCUGGCCCCGGGCAAUGAGGGGCUUAGCACCCGGGCCAGCGGCUGCGGAGGGUGUACUGGGUCCCCCAGCAGUGCCAGCCCACCAGCGAUGUGCUCGAUUUCUCACCGGGCCUUAGCUGCCUUCCCGCUCGGCAGGGCUCGGGACCCGCAGCCCGCCCUGCCUGAGCUUCCCACCCCCUCCGUGGGCUCCUGUGCGGCCCGGGCCUCCCCGACGAGCGCCACCCCCUGCUCCACCAUGCCCAGUCCCAUCGACCACCCAAGGGCUGAGGAGUGCGGGCGCACGCGCAGGACUGGCAGGCAGCUCCACCUGCAGCCCCAGUGCGGGAUCCACUGGGCGAAGCCAGCUGGGCUCCUGAGUCUGGUGGGGACGUGGAGAACCUUUAUGUCUAGCUCAGGGAUUGUAAACACACCAAUCCACACUCUGUAUCUAGCUCAAGGUUUGUAAACACACCAAUCAGCACCCUGUGUCUAGCUCAGGGUUUGUGAGUGCACCAAUCGACACUCUGUAUCUAGCUGCUCUGGUGGGGCCUUGGAGAACCUGUGUGUGGAAACUCCGUAUCUAACUAAUCUGAUGGGGACGUGGAGAACCUUUGUAUCUAGCUCAGGGAUUGUAAACGCACCAAUCAGCGCCCUGUCAAAACAGGCCUCUAGGCUCUACCAAUCAACAGGAUGUGGGUGGGGCCAGAUAAGAGAAUAAAAGCAGGCUGCCCGAGCCAGCAGCGGCAAGCCGUUCCGGUCCCCUUCCAUUGUGUGGAAGCUCU
ensembl:lncRNA novel transcript